rnacentral:rRNA from 11 species
AAUGCUGACAUGAGUAACGAUAAGAGGGGUGAAAAACCCCUCCGCCGAAAGAUCAAGGUUUCCUGUCCAACGUUAAUCGGGACAGGGUGAGUCGGCCCCUAAGGCGAGGGCGAAAGCCGUAGUCGAUGGGAAAUCGGUUAAAAUUCCGAUACCGAUUUUUACUGCGAUGGAGUGACGGAGAAGGCUAGGCUAGCACGGCGAUGGUUGUCCGUGUUCAAGCGUGUAGGUAGGGGGAUUAGGUAAAUCCGGUCCCUCGUUAAUCUGAGACGUGAUAACGAUCUCCUGGGGAAACCCUCGAGAGAAGUAGUCGAUGCCAUACUUCCAGGAAAAACUUCUAAGCUUCAGGUAAAAAUCGACCGUACUGUAAACCGACACAGGUGAUCAGGUAGAGAAUACCAAGGCGCUUGAGAGAACUUGGGUGAAGGAACUAGGCAAAAUGGUACCGUAACUUCGGGAGAAGGUACGCUGCCGACGGUGAUAGGAUUUACUCCUUGAGCUAUUGGCAGCCACAGAAACCAGGCCCCUGCAACUGUUUAUUAAAAACAUAGCACUCUGCAAACACGAAAGUGGACGUAUAGGGU